rnacentral:rRNA from 1 species
CGGGUUGUCAUGCCAAUGGCAUGCCCGGUAGCUAAAUGCGGAAGAGAUAAGUGCUGAAAGCAUCUAAGCACGAAACUUGCCCCGAGAUGAGUUCUCCCUGACUCCUUGAGAGUCCUGAAGGAACGUUGAAGACGACGACGUUGAUAGGCCGGGUGUGUAAGCGCAGCGAUGCGUUGAGCUAACCGGUACUAAUGAACCGUGAGGCUUAACCUUACAACGCCGAAGGUGUUU